GACGAACGCUGGCGGCGUGCUUAACACAUGCAAGUCGAACGGAAAGGCCCUGCUUUUGUGGGGUGCUCGAGUGGCGAACGGGUGAGUAACACGUGAGUAACCUGCCCUUGACUUUGGGAUAACUUCAGGAAACUGGGGCUAAUACCGGAUAGGAGCUCCUGCUGCAUGGUGGGGGUUGGAAAGUUUCGGCGGUUGGGGAUGGACUCGCGGCUUAUCAGCUUGUUGGUGGGGUAGUGGCUUACCAAGGCUUUGACGGGUAGCCGGCCUGAGAGGGUGACCGGCCACAUUGGGACUGAGAGACGGCGCAGACUCCUACGGGAGGCAGCAGUGGGGAAUAUUGCACAAUGGGCGGAAGCCUGAGGCAGCAACGCCGCGUGCGGGAUGACGGCCUUCGGGUUGUAAACCGCUUUCGCCUGUGACGAAGCGUGAGUGACGGUAAUGGGUAAAGAAGCACCGGCUAACUACGUG
rnacentral:rRNA from 1 species